AAUUUGGAGAAGGUGCUUCGGGUGCGUCCGCGGUCCAAGUCCCUUGGAACAAGGCAUCCCAGAGGGUGAGAAUCCCGUAUAUGGCUGAUGGAUAAGCCCGUGUGAAGCUCUUUCGACGAGUCGAGUUGUUUGGGAAUGCAGCUCUAAAUGGGUGGUAAAUUUCAUCUAAAGCUAAAUAUUCGCUAAAGACCGAUAGCGCACAAGUAGAGUGAUCGAAAGAUGAAAAGCACUUUGAAAAGAGAGUUAAAAAGUACGUGAAAUUGUUAAAAGGGAAGCGCUUGCAACCAGACUCGCUCGCGGGUGUUCAGCCGUCCCUUGGGGCGAUUCACUCUCCCGCGAUCGGGCCAGCAUCGGUUUAGGCGGUUGGAUAAAGGCUUCGGGAAUGUAGCUCUUCGGAGUGUUAAGCCCGGGGUGUAAUGCGAUCAGCCGAGACCGAGGACCGCGCAUUCGUUAGGAUGCUGGCGUAAUGGUUGUCAGCGACCCGUCUUGAAACACGGACCAAGGAGUCGACCAAUCGAGCGAGUAUAUGGGUAUGACACCCAAAUGCGUAAUGAAAGUAAACGGAGGUGGGAGCCCUUCGGGUGCACCAUCGACCGAUCCUGAUGUUUUCGGAUGGAUUUGAGUAUGAGCCCGGCUGGUCGGACCCGGUAUUUUUGAAACCAAGUGCUUCUAUUAUUUUAAUAUGCUAACUGUUUGAUAGAAAGAUGGUGAACUAUGCCUGGAUAGGGUGAAGCCAGAGGAAACUCUGGUGGAGGCUCGCAGCGGUUCUGACGUGCAAAUCGAUCGUCAAAUUUGGGCAUAGGGGCGAAAGACUAAUCGAACCAUCUAGUAGCUGGUUCCCGUCGAAGUUUCCCUCAGGAUAGCAGCAACGGAAACAGUCUCAUGAGGUAGAGCGAACGAUUAGAGGCCUUGGGGUUGAAACAACCUUAACCUAUUCUCGAACUUCGAAUAUGUGAGAAGUCCUUGUUACUUAGUUGAA
rnacentral:rRNA from 1 species